GGAAGCUUGAUUCAAGAUGAUGUCCUAACCACCAUGGUCCCAAAAAAGGCUAAAGGAUGCUGGUUGGUGAGGGUGUUGGUGGAAAGUUCUUUUCCGUGGCAUUACAACUCCAAGGGAAUGGCAAGGAACCUGAGGAACCAGCGUGAGGAAAACCUGGAUGAUCUGACGUCUUCCUCACUUUAUCCCUACCUGUCUACGCCUCCAUCCAUCCACCCAUCCAUCACUGAUCAAGCUCUCACUAUGUAUAUAGUGUAGAAGGUGCCACCAAAUGCAAUGGAACCUCUUGUCUCAUGUGUCUACUUGCAUCUUUAAGUUGAUACACAGAAGGCACAGUCCAAGCACAGGAUACUGGAAGCUAUGGAGUUGUAUUUAAUUUCGAGGAGACUUGACUACUGGGAAGCCGUUGGGAAUGGUUUCUGAUUCUUGGCCAUCACAUCUUCUCUUCUGCAUCUCUACCACAUCCUCAUUCCCAUUGGCUCUGUUGUCAAUGCCCAUCUUUGCUGACCUCCUUUGCGAUAUCCAAGUUUUCAUCUUUUCCCUGGUGGUUAGUCCAUAAAGUUCACUUUGCAGCCUCACAAGACAACAAGGGGACAUUAGGGCUCAACAACCCUAAAAAUCGAAUGGGAGUCCAGGUGCAGUGGCUCACGCCUGUAAUCCCAACAUUUUGGGAGGCCGAGGCAGGCAGAUCACUUGAGGCCAGGAGUUUGAGACC